CCUCUCUCAGCGCUGAGGUCAAGGUGCCUGAGAAUAGGCAACUUAAAACUGUUGAGCGUGCUGACGCGACCGGCUUGGGGACUGAAGACAUCGGCGCGUGACGGCCUGCCAAUAUUCUCUUUGAUCCUGAAGUUGCAGAAUGUCUCCUCAAAACCAUUCUGUCCUUGUUGCCCCUGUUGUCUCUGAAUUCCCUGUUCUCGUCUUUCCUCCUGUUGUGACUCUGGUGGCUGGAUGAAAUCGAGACGUCCUCUAACUCUCACGAUUUGGGGUCUGUUGUCUUUCUGUCCCUGAAGCUGCUGGGCAGUCUGUUGGUCAAUGUUCAAAGCAUCAGCGAGGAGCUGUGUGUUGAAGCCUGCAAAGAUGUUGUUGUUUCCUUGUCGUUGUUGUUGCUGGUGCCUGCUCCUUCCUCCUUGCUGUUGCUGGUGCCUGCUCUUUUCUCCUUGCUGUUGCUGGUCCUGGUCCCAUUGACUUUGGCCUUCCGCUUGUUGUCCACGUCCUUGCCGUCCUCGUUGCCUUUGGCUUUGCCCGUGUUGGUUAAACUCAUCUUGUGGAUUACCCGCUAGAUAGAAUCUCUAUACACAUAACAAUAGUACAAUACAUGUAUGUGAUCUGCAGUCAGCAAUGAUAACAAGUAAUCUACCAAUAAAUAUGCAAAUAUAUUUGGGGGUGUAAAUGGACAGUGUGCUCAUUAGUAGAUAUUUAAUUUACCCUAGGGUUACGAUCAAGCUGGUUUUGGUUGUUGCCGAUGUCAAGAAGACUGACAGCAACAAGAGGUUGAUCACCGUCAUUGUAGGACCAGUAGGUGACUCCGGCAGGAAUAGCAACAACGUCACCUUCUCUGAUGCGUCGAACCUUCUGGUGUCUGUCUAGCUGUUCGAAGCUUUCUUGUCCCUGUUGGCCUUGCUGGCCUUGUUGUCUAUGACGGCCAUGCUGUCCACGGUCUUGCUGCUCUUGUUGUUCACGGCCUUGCUGUCCAUGACGCCCUUGCCAUUGUUGUUGACCCUGUUGUUCUUCAUCAGAUUGUUCUGAUUCUUCAAAAGACUCAGGACAGCCAGGGAAUACAGUAGAUAGAAAACCAUUUCCUGCCGUAAUUAUAUGAAUAUAUUACACACCAUAUACAGAUACAUAUUAAUACAUAUCCAACAUUUAUAAUAUUAGAUAGAAAUGGUUCCGGUUACACAGUACCUUGGACAAUAUAUAUGAGCUGUGGUGCGUGGGUGUAAGAAGGCAAGUGAAGGCCAUUUCUUUCAACAGUGAUUCGUUGAACAGCAACACCAGCACACCGGAAGUCGUCCUGGUUGUAGUUCCAGGACUCGAUCCUACCCGCUUCAGUCUCAAUGCGGUUAUCAGGUUCGCGGGCUUGGAUCUGAUCAAGUUGGCACUCAUUCUGCUGGCUCGACUGAGAUUGUUGGCGCGCUGCUAAGCAGCUGUGGAAGAGGACAAGCAAGCAAAGAGAAAAGGCGAGAGCUAUAGGCUUAGCCAUAGUGUUGAUCAGAUAAGUAUAUAGCUUGUCGUGGUGAAGCGGCGAGUAGAAGGUGUGGUAUUUAUACUUUUAUAGGAUAGAGAAGCUGAAGAGGGAAGGAUAAGUACAACAACGUACAUCUGUAAAUAGUCUGAAGCCAUUCUUAUCUUUGCAUGGCAAAAGCAUUUCACAUUCUUACACCUCAUUUCUCCCAGGGCAGGUGGCUCAUGGCUUCAGAGAAGAUACAAAGUGCCUAACAAGGUGGGGUUUUGCCAUGAUUGUCUGCAAGUGAAGCGAAAUUCUACUGCCUUGAACCUGGUCCAAUAAAGAGCAAAAUUUAUGAGAGGACUAAGAUAUGUUCUUACCAGUUUUAGUAAAAUAGUAUUACAUCAGCACCAACCUGAUGAACAUCUUCUAUAAUGUAGGCAAGGUUCAAAAAUGGCUGUUCUUAUCUUCCUAGUAGCCAUCCAUACUCUGUCAUUUUAUGAGUCAAAGUUUAAUAUUUAAAACUUAUGUAGACAUUCCAACAAUAAAACUUAAAAGUUCUUAACUCUAGUUGGUAAUACUUUGACACGUCAAACUUCUUUGAUUUCUUCCAGAAGCAUAAGCAUCUGGUUCUCACGUUGCUAAUCACUUCACCUAUCUAGUUUUCCUACCAAAAAGAAUCUGAUAUAGAUAGAAAAGUUAGCCAUAAAUGUAGGACUUACUGUGAACAAUGUCCCAAUUCCAACCUCAAAGAUUAGAAUCUAAAAGCUCGUAACUCAAAAUUAUACAACAUCAUUAUAUUCACAAUAAAAAGUACUCUGACAUAAGGUUUAGUUCAGUUUAGUGCUUCUUGAAAAAAAAGAUGAAGACUUCAACUGUUCUACAACAUAAUUGUCUAUAUCUAUACUCAAAAUGAUCAAUAAUCGUUUAUCCUACCAUAUUUCUUGUAUGGAAUAUCUUGUUACAUUUUGUUUUCAUAGCAAAAUGUUGCAAUAUUUGAGUGAUAGAUACACUGCCAACAUGGUGUACAAGUUCCACAGCCAAGAUUUUUGGGCUCACGACAACUCUUAAGGCUUAAGAACCAGUAAUGCAUGGUUGAACUAGGGAGCAGCCAUUGCUGAAGGCUCCUCCUCAAAACGAUCCAUUGCUUUAUUACCCCAUGGUUGGAAAACCUGCCAACAGUCAAAAUUUCCUCUUCCCCCGCAGUCGAUAUUUUCUCAUCUCAAUAAAUUUUAUUCAUCCAAAACAUAAAUCCUUUUGUUUAAGUACCCGCCAGUAUAUCUAAUAUCUGUGACAAGCCGAGUGCUGACAGCUGAUAUUUUAAAACUUGGGAUUCCCUAUAGCCCCUCUCAUUAUAACCCCUCUAAUGUUAAAGCUUCUGCUAAAGACACAUCUCUAGUUCCUCGAGCUAAUGCUACAUCCGCAAUGCAAUUGUUCCCAUGCAAUGAUUAGCCAGAGGAAAACUCGAGGAGCUCCCUUGACUCUGAUCAAUUUAGCCUCAAGUCUCGAACUUGUUCUUUGAAAGUCAGUGAAGAGGCUACUUCUUUAACUGGUGAUGGUGCUCAACCAAUGUUAAGCCAGACAGAGGAUAGUUAAGUGAAUCUGGUCGGGAAGACCUAAAAAGAGCAAAACUUCUUGCUUUCCCUUGCUACACAACGAGUACUACUAAAAGGUCGAUUCCAACAAAAGAGCUCAGGAUGUUGUUAUUAAUGGGGUUGGGACUUGAGUUCUCGGGUGGGAAUGUGAAGGUGCAGCAGUUGCUUUGCAACUCUACUUUACUGUCCUUGUCCAAGCUGAUAAGGGUGGGACGACAUUGAACGGCCUUAUUUACAGGUCCUCUAUAUAUUGGAAUACUUGACUGUCUCAGAAAGGACUUGCCAAGUGAUUCCCUAAUUCUAAUGCUCAGACCUCGGCCUAUUUGAAAUGUCUGAUAGAAACUAGUUUGAGGAAUAAUUAGCUUCUUUACCUGUGAGUACAUGUUUCUAUGGAAGGUUUCUGUAAUGCUAGCUUUCCUUCUGCUAUAAGGAAGGUGACCAAGCUUUUAAUCCUAACACCAAAGUUAAACCUUUUCCAAAGAAAGGGGGUCAAAACCUGUAGAAUAUUAUGUAACAGGUUGAACCUAACACAUAAAGUUCAGCAAUCAUCCAUGAUCCAUCUUCUAUCAUAUUUUUACUGAACCAAAGAUUAAGUAAUCAACACUGGCAGUUGUUUAUGUAAGUUAUUCUGAUAAAGAAAAAAGAUCCAUCACUACCCUUAAACUUAUUGUGCCACAAAACACAAAUGACUUCAAUUGUUCCUAUCGCAUAGAAACCAAACUUUUGUCAUUGUUUCUUGGAAUUAUUCUGUACACAUCACUUCUGUGCAAUCAUGCACAAAAUAGAAUCAAAAUACCAUGACAAUGACAAAGGGUUUAAUUCAAUUUGGCACUUCUUACCAACACUAUGCUCCUCCAAAUGGUCCUCAUAGUCAAAGGGACUUCCCCAUAUCCCUUGUUCCAAAAUUAGCUUCUUUACCCAGAAUCAAUCAUCCUACUACGCUCAAAAUAUCUAAUUUCUCAAUACUCUACUGAUUCAAUUGAGUUGAAGACAAAGUAGACAACAAUUAACAGAUCAAAUGUGAAAGUACAUAAUUCAAUAGACUCACGAUUGCUGAGUUGCAGGUCACUGGUUGUGGUGUGUCUGAUCAGCAGGAGCUACGUUUCAAGCACGCCCUCGUGAAGCAAUCUCGUCCCCGACGCGACCUCUGGUAGUCGGAAUAUGCGGCCGGAUAACAUGAUCCGGCGAUCCCGUCUUUCACAUUGUGUUUGGUUGGACAUUGGCGGUUCCAGCAGUUCAGUUACUAUUGGUCUUCACCCUCUCAGCGCUCAACCUCUUCUAGUCUCUCCUUUUAUUCUUGUACUUGUCAGUUGUCACAGUUGCUAUCUAUGUGAUUGUUCCACGUGGAUUUUAUUUUCCUGCAAAUUCCCAAAUUAAUUAUUAUUUUGUCCAAAAUUUCCAGAUGAAUUGUUUGUUGUCUUUGAUGUUUUUUUUUCUUUUGUAAAAAGAUCGUAUGACCCCUUAUAUGGAUAUUUUCAGGAGACUUCUUGCCGCCUUCACGCUGUUCACGUUCCACAUACAUAUAUACAUGCAGCUCAACAUGCUUUUUCACCAACUUCACUGAGUUCUUUGAUGAUUCUAAUCAUUCGAUGGAAUCACAAAAUAGUUAGUUUAUACAACAGAGUUCGUGAGCUGCUUAUUUUAUAGUUUAAUUUUGGCGUGACGUCAUUAGUUAAAGCUCGACGAAGCAUGCUGUUUUUCUUUUCUAUCAAGAGCGUGAUUAGCUGGUUUGGAAAUUUCAUUUCUAUUUUUCUCGUUCUUAUUGAGAGUCAAACUUUGAAGAAAUGAUAGUCAAACUUCGAAGAAAUGAUUGGAGUCAAACCUGAUGAUUACAGACAAGGGGUGAGCUGCUGAUAUGCAAUUACAGCCAAAGCAAAUUACUGACUUAAAUCUAAGGGGCAAAGCUUCACAAUUUAGAUAAAACACCAACUCACCAAGUAUAGUUGAGGCAAAAAGAAAAUUCAUUUAACGAGAAUAUGACUACAAGAACGUAGUAGCUCGUUAUUUACUAGUUUGUACAUAAGAUCUCAUAUCUUCCGAAGAUGCCAUAUAAAGGCCAUUUUUAUUCACUCUACCCUUUAGCUCGCUGGUACCAUAUUCACUAGCUUAUUCACCGCACAAAAAACACUACGUGCGCAUUACAUACAUAUUCAUACUCAGACAAACAUCUCAGCAAUAUCCAACCAGUUCCUGUGGGAUCGAGGAGACCUUGAUGAGCUCAAAGCAACAGUCUCCUGCCUGUUGUACUUGAGAGUCCUUGCCUGUUGUCGAUCAAUCUGGUAUGCGUUAGCGAGGACCACGUCAGGGAGUGCCCGCAAGACUGAGGUCCGGCCAGCAAGAGUGUUAAUCUUAGCAUUGUCUUGGGUCUUGAAAGCAAUGUAUUCGAAUCCAUUGUUGCUAGCCUUAUGCAACACUGCAUGGUUCUGUGGCACAAUGAAGAGCUGGCCCUGGCGGACCUCGUUGUCCAAGAUGGCCUGGCCGUUGUUGUUCACAACCUGAACCCUAGCACUACCUCUAAUGACGUAGUAGACUUCAUGGGCGUUCAAGUUCCAGUGAGGACUGUAGAUAGCAUUCUGCAAGUACCACAAACAAGAUUAGUAAUCAUAAUCAAUAACCUCAAUUGAUUCAAAAGGACCUAUAUCGUUGAUUAUAUAUACUUACGUUAUAGAAGAAGCCUCUCUCAGCGCUGAGGUCAAGGUGCCUGAGAAUAGGCAACUUAAAGCUGUUGAGGGUGCUGAUGCGACCGGCUUGGGGACUGAAGACGUCAGCGCGUGAAGGCCUGCCGAUAUUCUCUUUGAUCCUGAAGUUGCAGAAUGUCUCCUCAAAACCAUUCCGUCCUUGUCCCUGUUGUCUCUGAAUUCCCUGUUGUUGUCUUUCCUCCUGUUCUGACUCUGCUGGCUGAACAAAGUCGAGACGUCCUUUAACUCUCACGAUUUGGGGUCUGUUGUCGUUCUGUCCCUGAAGCUGCUGGGCAGUCUGUUGAUCAAUGUUCAGAGCGUCAGCGAGGAGCUGUGUGUUGAAGCCGGCGAAGAUGUUCUUGUUGUUUCCUUCUUGUUGCUGGUGCCUGCUCCUUCCUCCUUGCUGUUGCUGGUGCCUGCUCCUCUCUCGUUGCUGUUGCUGGUCCUGGUCCCAUUGACUUUGUCCUUGCUGGCCCCGACGACUCUGGCUUUGCCCGUGUUGGUUAAACUCAUCUUGUGGAUUACCAGCCAGAUAGAAUCUCUACAUACAUAACACAUCAUGCAUGUGAUCAGAAAAAACUAGCAAGCCAACAGUAAGAGUGCUAUUGUACCUCCACAAAAGAAAAUAUAUACAUAUCACAUUUGCUAAUUAAUUUACCCUGGGGUUACGGUCAAGCUGGUUUUGUUGGUUGCCGAUAUCAAGAAGAUUGACAGCAACAAGAGGUUGGUCACCGUCGUUGUAGGACCAGUAGGUGACUCCAGCAGGAAUAGCAAUCACAUCACCUUCUCUGAUGCGUUGAACCUUCUGGUGUCUGUCUAGCUGCUCGAAACUCUCUUGUCCCUGUUGGCUGUGCCGCCCUUGUUGUCUAUGACGACUUUGCUGUCCAGGGCCUUGUUGCCCUCGUUGACCACGGCCUUGUUGUUCAUACUCUUCCUGUUCUUGUUGCCCGCGGCCUUGCUGUCCAUGGCGCCCUUGCUGGCCUUGCCACUGUUGUUGACCUUGUUCUUCAUCAGAUUGCUCAGAUUCUUCAAAAGUUUCAGGACAGCCAGGGAAAACAGUUGAUAGAAAACCAUUGCCUACAGGGUAUAAAUGAAUGAUUUUAACCACAUACGUACUUGUAUUCAAAAAAUUUAUACUAAAUUUAACCAAUUGCAUUUAUACAAUACCUUGCACUAUGUAAGUGAGUUGUGGAGCAUGGGAGUAAGAAGGCAAGUGAAGGCCAUUUCUUUCUAUGGUAAUUCGUUGAACGGCAACACCAGCACAUUGGAAAUCGUCCUGGUUGUAGUCCCAGGAUUCGAUCCUACCCGCUUCAGUCUCAAUGCGGUUAUCAGGUUCACGGGCUUGGAGCUGAUCUAAUUGGCAUUCAUUUCGCUGGCUCGACUGAAAUUGUUGGUGAGCUGCUAAGCAGCUCUGGAAGAGGACAAGCAAACAGAGAGAAAAGGCGAGAGCUAUAGGCUUAGCCAUAGUGAUGAUCAGAGAGAUAGCUAGCUAGUUGUGGUGAAGCGGCGAGUAGAAGGUGUGGUAUUUAUAGGAUAGAGAAGGUGAAGAGACAAAAAUAAGUACAAUAACAUUAAAGAUCUGAAGCCGUUCUUCUCUUUGCAUGGCAAUAGCAAUUUACAUUCUUCCACCUCAUUCCUUCCAGGGCAGGUGGCUCAUGACUUCAGAGAAGAUACAAAGUGCUAUGAAUAAGGUGGCAACCAGAAGCGGUUUGCAAUUGUCUGCAAGUGAAGCAAAAUUUUACACCCUUGAACCUGGUCCCAAUACAGGGAAAAAUUAAUGAGAGAAGUCAGAUAAGUUCGUUCUAAAUUUGGUAAAAUGAUAUUACAUCAGCCCCAACCUGAUGAACAUCUUCUAUGAUCCAGACAAGGUUCAAAAAUGUAAGAUCUCAUCGGAAAAAAAAUGUAUGUUAGAUAAGUACUGAAUGAUGUGUCAGGAACCUCAAGACAUUUUUCUAUAUGCAAUUUAUCAUUGUUUCACAUUCUUACAGCUCAUUUCUUUGACCAGGUGGCUUAUGGCUUCAGAGAAGACUCAAAGUGGCUUGAACAAUGUGUCAACCAGGUGGGAAUGACAUGAUUUUCAAAUGCAGCAAAGAUUUACUGCCGUGAAUAAUGCAAAAUUAAUUAUACAAACAAGAUCUAUAGCUGUUCAAUGCAUAGUUUGGAAAAGUAAAAUCAUACCAACACCAACCUGAUAAACUCAUCUAUGAUGCAUGCAUGGUGAAAAAUUAUAACAUUUUCAUCUUUCCUACAGUAAUCAGCAUAGUCUAUCCUUUCAUGAAUCAAAAUUAAUACUUCAAGUCUAUGCACAUAAAAUCUUACUAAAAAUAAUGCAGUUUAGUGGUUUAUAUAAGUUUCUUUGCAAACAAAUCUGAACUCCAUCACUAUUCUUGAAACUACUGUGACCCAUCAACGUUAUUACCUCAGCUAUCAACCAUUCUCAUGUCAUAAAGAUUCAGAAUUUGCAAUAUUACUCCUAGAAGUUCUCUGUUCAUCUACAGAAAGGAGUCUCGUAGAAGCUACUGUUGUGAUAGAAGCUAGGAUAGCUAAUGCUGCAAAAUUGAUCUCCGAGAAGCUAUUGUUGUUAAAAUCCCAUCUCAUAAAAUUUUCUCCUGUUUCAAAAAUUAAAAAAUAUAAAAAAUUGUCUCCCUUUGAUUAAAGCACCCUGAACACCAGAAAUGGUGUCACUUAAAACCUCUCUCAAUCUCCAAGCUAACACUUUUGCGAUAAUUUCAUACAAGCUUGAUAAUCAAGCUGUGGACUUCUGUAGAUGAACAGAGAACUUCAAGGAGAACUACCACUUUUGGACUAAUUUUACAACCAAGACUUUACUUCUACUACUUUGUUAUAAAAGAUUGCAAGGCAUCAAUAGACGAUAUAUAGUUGAUAAGACUGGAUGCAAUCCACUCAAAUGCAUUUCAAAAAACUAUAUUCAAUGAGUAAUUUGAGUUGUUUUUUUCUUCCAACUCAAAAACUUGAACAAACCUCGAUUCUAAUACUCUAAACAAAGAAUUUAACCCGGAAUCGAAAGAUCAAUACUGAAAAACAUAAUCUGAUACAUAAACAUGUGUUAUCAUUUGUAAAACAUCAGAUACAACCUAUUUGCACAAAAUGGGUUACACAUCUCUAACAAAGGCUUAGACUUUAGAUAUCAAAAGAAUUCCAAUUUGUCCUCUUCUACACAAUUCUAACAAAUGCUCAAGUCCUUUAAGGCCUUGUAUUUAGAUGCUAAGAAGAGUAAAAAAUGGGCCUAUUGGCAGGAUUUAAAUUGAAAAUCUUGAUUUAAAAAUGGUUGAAUUCCAGAUCAGUCUACAGAGAAUCUAGUAAUUCUAUGCUUCAAAAACUCAUUUGCCCCUCUUUAAAUCCUCACAAUGUGGGGUUGAUUAGCUUCCUUUAACCAAGAGUAACAUGGUUCUAUGAAAAACAAGCAUUAAUGAAUCAAACAGAGAUCACAACACAAUAACAAAUAGAUCAAACUUUGAAAUCAACUAAUAUUAGACUCCCAAAUUCCAAGUUCAAGUAGGCUGUUGUUGAAUCACGCGUUACCUCGCGAAGCGAGUCUCGCUUCCCACGACGUUGCAUUUCUUGCUCGUCGGCGUAUGACGCCGGAGAAAACGAUUCGGCGACCACGUCUUCCAUUUUUCCCUUCAUUUUCUGAUCCUGGUUUGCUCUCUGGUUUUCUACCUAUUGUGUUGGGCUUUAUUACAUACUUUUGGGUCCUUUUUCCUUUUAUUUUUCUUUUUCUUUCAUUUUAAAAGUCGAAUAGUUUCCUAAUAUUUCGAAAAAUUAAAAGUCGAGUACCUCACAGUAUCUAGUUUUUAUUUGAUAAAUCAGUAUCUAGUUUUUUUUUUUUAAGAAAGAGCUUCUAGUUUUCAUAUUCAUUUGAUAAAUAAAAGUAAUUUUAACCUCUCGUGUGCAUUUAAGUUGUCUAUUAUGGUGAGAAAAGUUUCCUAAAAGAAAACUAUGGUGAGAAAAACAAGAGCAUUCGAAAUGAGAAGAACAUGAAGGUGGAUUUGAGAGGAGCCAAAACGCGAAUCAAAGGAAGAAGAAAGAGAUUUCAUUAGAAAAAAGUGUAACGCGAAUCAAAGGAAGAAGAAAGAGAUUUCAUUAGAAAAGAGUGUUUGAGACUACAAGUAGAGUAGCUAUUUAUUAACUUGUGGCAUUAGAUCUCUCUCCUAGUACCACGAGACCCAUAUAAAAGGCUACUUUUAUUGAUUAUCUACCUCUUAGCUUAGCAAGUACCACAUUAACACUACAUGCCGCUAAAUUUUUCAUUUGCUCCCAUCAGUAUCUCUAGAACUGUGAGGACCUUGAUGAGCUCAAAGCAAGAGUCUCCUGCCUGUUAUACUUGAGGUCCUUGCCUGCUCGCGGUCCAUCUGGUAGGCGUUGGCGAGGACCACGUCGGGGAGUGAUCGCAAGACGGAGGUCCUGCCAGCUAGAGUGUUGACCAUGGCAUUGUCAUUGGUCUUGAAGGCAAUGUACUCGUACCCGUUGCUCUGGGCUUUUUGCAACACGGCGUGGUUUUGCGGCACGAUGAAGAGUUGUCCCUGGCGGACCUGGUCGUCCAAGAUGGUCUCACCGUUGUCGUUCACCACCUGAACCCUGGCGCUACCUCUGAUGACAUAGAUGAUCUCAUGAGCAUUCAAGUUCCAGCGGGGGCU
rnacentral:lncRNA from 1 species